CUUGUGCUCCCAGACUGAGCUAAUCAGGUUCCUUCUUUCAUGGUGGUUGAAUUUGGUUAAUGUAAUGAAUGUGUUUGUUGAAUGCGAAUGCGUAAUCAAAGUGGUGGAAAUUGCUUAAUGUAAUGAAUGUUGAAUGCGAAUGACAAAAGUUACAAAUGAUAAGCGUUGAAAAUGAUGAGCGGGAAGAAUAAAGAGUAAAAUAAUUUAUGACGCCCAAUGUGGGAAUCGAACCCACUACAGGAAACUGGCUCGGGUUGACGUUGCCAUUAAGAAUGAAUGGGG